rnacentral:misc_RNA from 1 species
GAAAUGCGAUAAGUAAUGUGAAUUGCAGAAUUCAGUGAACCAUCGAAUCUUUGAACGCACAUUGCGCCCGCCAGCACUCUGGCGGGCAUGCCUGUCCGAGCGUCGCUUCAACCCUCGAGGCCCGCGCCGCCCGCCGCCGCCGGGGGGCGGGGGAGGGAGGGCGGCGCGGGCCCGGUGUUGGGGGACGGCCCAGCGCCGCCCCCGAAAUGCAGUGGCGAACCCGCCGCGGCCUCCCCUGCGCAGUAAGCACACGCCCUCGCACCGGAGCCCGGACGCGGUCCACGCCGUAAAACGCCCCGACCCCCCAGCGAGUCGACCUCGGAUCAGGUAGGAGUACCCGCUGAACUUAA